rnacentral:rRNA from 1 species
AGAGUUUGAUCCUGGCUCAGAACGAACGCUGGCGGCGUGCUUAAACCAUGCAAGUCGAACGAGAACCCCCGCUUCGGCGGGGGAGUACAGUGGCGAACGGGUGAGUAACGCGUGGGUAACCUGCCUUCGAGAGCGGGAUAACCCCUCCAACGAGGGGGUAAUACCGCAUAUUGUAGUCGGAUCGCAUGAUUUGGCUAUGAAAAGGGGCCUCUGCUUGCAAGCCCCUGCUCGAAGAUGGACCCGCGUUCUAUUAGCUUGUUGGUGAGGUAACGGCUCACCAAGGCUAUGAUGGAUAGCCGACCUGAGAGGGUGAUCGGCCACACUGGGAUUGAGAUACGGCCCAGACUCCUACGGGGGGCAGCAGGUGGGAAUAUUGCGCAAUGGGGGAAACCCUGACGCAGCAACGCCGCGUGGGGGAUGAAGCUCUUUGGAGCGUAAACCCCUGUAAGAAGGGACGAAAUGCGCAGGUGUGAAUAUCAUCUGCGCUUGACGGUACCUCUAGAGGAAGCUCCGGCUAACUCCGUGCCAGCAGCCGCGGUAACACGGGGGGAGCAAGCGUUGUUCGGAUUUACUGGGCGUAAAGCGCGCCUAGGCGGGCCAACAAGUCAAAUGUGAAAUUUCCCGGCUCAACCGGGAACCUGCAUUUGAUACUGUUGGCCUUGAGUAUAGGAGAGGAAAGCGGAACUGAGCGUGUAGCGGUGAAAUGCGUAGAUAUGCUCAGGAACACCGGUGGCGAANGCGGCUUUCUGGCCUGAUACUGACGCUGAAGCGCGAAAGCGUGGGGAGCAAACAGGAUUAGAUACCCUGGUAGUCCACGCUGUAAACGAUGGGCACUAGGUGUUGGAGGUAUUGACCCCUUCAGCGCCGCAGCUAACGCAUUAAGUGCCCCGCCUGGGGAGUACGAUCGCAAGGUUGAAACUCAAAGGAAUUGACGGGGGCCCGCACAAGCGGUGGAGCAUGUGGUUCAAUUCGAGGCAACGCGAAGAACCUUACCUGGGCUUGACAUGUAGGUGGUAGUCCAGCGAAAGCUGGACGACCCUUCGGGGCACCUACACAGGUGCUGCAUGGCUGUCGUCAGCUCGUGCCGUGAGGUGUUGGGUUAAGUCCCGUAACGAGCGCAACCCUUACCCUUAGUUGCCAGCGAUAUCGGGCACUCUAAGGGGACUGCCCGGGACAACCGGGAGGAAGGUGGGGAUGACGUCAAGUCAGCAUGGCCUUUAUGUCCAGGGCUACACACAUGCUACAAUGGCCGGUACAAUGGGUUGCGACGCCGUGAGGCGUAGCAAAUCCUCUAAAGCCGGCCCAAGUUCGGAUUGCAGGCUGCAACUCGCCUGCAUGAAGCUGGAAUUGCUAGUAACCGCGCGUCAGCAAUAGCGCGGUGAAUACGUUCCCGGGCCUUGUACACACCGCCCGUCACGUCAUGGGAGCUGGCAACACCUGAAGCCGGUGUGCUAACCCUAAGGGAAGCAGCCGUCGAAGGUGUUGCCGGUAACUGGGACGAAGUCGUAACAAGGUAGCC